GGCCUCGUACCUCAAGUUGUUAGAGCGUUGGCUGUACUAAAGCCUUCCUCUUGCUGGCGUGGGUUCAAAUCCCACCGAGGCCA
rnacentral:tRNA from 1 species